GGCACUUCAACAAUCAACACAAAAGAAAAAAUGAAAAAGAAAAAGCUUGAAAAGAAAAAAGAAUUAAUACUGUGAUUCAUGUGACAGAUAAAAAUCAUUAUCAUGCACCUGAAUUUUAAUCGACCUUGGCACCAUAUGCUCUAAAUCACGGUAUUUCGGUACUUGUUUCCGAAGAGAAGUACCUUAAUCGAUGACUCAUACCCACACACAAAACGUUCAUUCUUUUUGCACGCAGCUAACAACACUGUAACUGUUCCACCAUGGUCGCGACACCUCCACCAAACCUAGGUGAAAGUCCUCGCUUUCUCUAUCUUCUCUUUCACUUACAACGCAAUGACAAAAACUCGCAACAGAUCUUCGACAAGAUACAGAAACAUGAUCAAAUAAAGAGGAAUCUUUGCACUUAGACAAUCACCAAAAAUAACAAAAUGUGCACGUCCAUCCACACCAUGCUUCACUCAUAACAACGAAAACCCCCUUCGCACCGCACGCACGAACGCUCUCGCACAGCUACGAGCACUGCCAAAACCUCACAUUUUACCCAAGGACACGCAAAACACUCAUUUACCCAGGGAAAUCGAAGCUAGACCUAGAAAGCAUCACCACCAUACCACUUAUUUGAGGAAAAAGCGAACGGAGAAGAGGAAAUAGAAAAUGACACCGACCUACGCCCGCGGGAGGAUUUGGGAGGAGAGAAAGGAGAUAACUGCGCUAAUUUGCGAGGGCGGGCGAGAUGAUCGUGGUGGCAAGGGGUAGGGUUUGGGGCGUGUAUAAUGCUUUGCUUUCGCACAGAGCAAACUGCAGCGGGUGAGAGGCAUAGAUGAGGUUUUAUUUGAAGGCUUUCGCAGGGGGCCGAUCUGGACCGUCGGAACACGGAUCCCGUCCGUUUCCCCCCCUUACCGAUGAUGGAACUCUCUGGAGGUCCCGGGAAGGAUAUCGUCAUCCUGUCGAUCUCUUUGUCGACGCACGAAUCUUAAAGUAACAGGAGACCACCCUAAAACUCGUACCCACCGGUCAUUAAGAGUCAACCUUUUUAUCGGCAUCGUAUUGAUUCAACUUCAACUCCCAAACACCGUAAUUUAUUGCCCAAGUUCGGGUUUGACCAUAGACACGUCUUGUAGUUGUAAAUAUGAUCGAUUUCGAUGAUGUAUUUUAUUUUCUCAUGAUUUUAUUUGAGUUUACGAUAGCCUUAGAUAUAUAUAUACAUAAUAAAUAAUACUUUGGUUUUUCUAAAUUAUUAUUUUAUACCUUCGAAAUUAUUUUCUUUAUGUUGGAUUUGUUGGCCAAUCGUCUGAUAUGGGAUUAAUUACUUGGCAUUAUUUUGUUUGAAAUACAAACAAACAAAAAAGAAAUUAAACGUCGCCUGAGAGAUUCGAACUCUCGCGGGGAAACCCCAUGUACUUAGCAGGCACACGCCUUAACCACUCGGCCAAAGCGACUUUGAUGUUAAUUUGUUAUUUAUUAAUAUAUAUAUUAUGGAUCACUUUGUCCCGCACAAACCGUUUCUUAUAGCGACUCUCUCCCUCCUCUUUUACCCCUUGGGAGCGCUUUCUUCACCGUCGGCGUCAUGUAUCGGCCGCCGUCGAACACCCGCUCUGGCGGUGGGGGUUUCCGCCACCCAUCCUACCCCCCUCAGAAUCUUAACUUCGCCUUUCCCGGCAAUCUUCAAGGCCAUGUAAACCCUCCAGAACCCUAGCUUCCUCCAACCUCCCAUUAUGCGCUACCUCCUGAACCGAUUCUUUCCUCAGCCGAAUCCUUCCCCCAAGCCCUUCUUGACGGGGUUGAUGCCGCCGCCACUAAGGCUCACCGGGACCUCGUCACCGCCGGUCAGAACGUCUCGUCGUGGAAAGUGUCGCAGGCCUCUCUCCUCGCUCUAAAGAUCGAAUCUUGGAGCGCCUUAGGGUUUCAAAUUCAGGAUGUUCCAUCCCUCCACAGCCUAAUCGUCACACAAGCAAAGGUGGGUUCUGUUAUAAAUUGUUCAAAUUUAAAAACAAAAGGAUUUCUUUUCAAAAGAUUUAUUUGUAGUUAUUUUGGUAGUUAUUUUUUAAAGAUAAAAUAUCUAUAAAUAAGUAUUUGAGAGUAAAUUAUAAAUAUAUCUCUUUUAUAUUCUUGUUCUUUCUUGAUAAUUCGAUUGAAUUAGAUAUUCUUUAAUUCUUUUUUGAAGAAUUUUUAUUGUUUGCUCAAUAUAGAUCUUCUAGAGGUUUGUCAUAUCCAUUAAAACUAUUUACAUCAAACCCAUAGCAAUCUUGUUGAGAAGAUGGUGUAAAUAUCGCUUUUAAAAAAAUAUUUAUAUAUGUUUGAAGCCUAAAUAUAUUUUCUAUAGUGUUCUUAAUCUUGUAUUUGUUAUUUGUUUCCAUAGUAUUUUUAUCAUCUUCUUUAUUAUAUUUUCUUCCUUUCCUCAAUCUCUCUCUCUUUAUAUAUAUAUACACUUUUUCUUUGUCGAACUAUAGGCAAACCACAUGUUCAUUUGUAUUUUUUUCUUUUCAAUAGAAGGAAGGGCACAUAUUAUGCAAAAUUUAAUAGACGAAAGGCUCAUAGUGAGAAGACUGCGGUAGAAGACAAUUUGCGGACUAUAUUUAUUAUAUUAUUAUACAUUAAAAUUAAACAAAAUAAUAAUAAUACCAAUAACAUUAAGACUAUCAUUAUUUUCAUUAACAGAAUAUGAAAGUGAAAGAAUAGACAAAGAUAGAAAAUAUUCCAAUUUCAUUUAUAUUUUCUUACGCUUUACCGUGUUGUGUGGUGUCUUGAUUUAUAUGUACAAUAUGGUGAAACCUAGAUUGUCUUUUGAAGAGCACAAUGCCCACUUUUAUUCUCCAAUUAUUCUACGGUAAAAAUGCAAUAGGCAGCACCAACCGUUUCCUUCUAAUUUCUCCAUGUUCAUAUAUGUUUCUUUCUCUUUGUCAAACUUGUUUUUGUUUUUUAAUAUAACAUUAUGUCCCACUUGUCUCAUGUUUUUCCUAGGAUAAAUCAGUUACUAAAAUACUUAUUUUAAACCACAAAACUCGUUUUCUACUAGGUCUCUAUUAAUUGGUUGUCAUCUGUAGUGUCACGACCUUAGCUGGAAUUGCCUAAGACGUGAGGCACCCUUGCGGUCAAGACGCGAACUUAGCUUGCGUUGCCUAAGUUGCGAGGUACCCUUAUGGCAAAGACGCGAACUUAGCUUGUGUUGCCUAAGUCCUGCUUCGCCCUUACAAUUUGCGUCCGCAAAGAUUAGCGCACUUGCAACCUCUUGCAGGUCCCGAAGGACCUGUAAAAGAGAAAAUUGAUUAGUUCAAAGAACGAGCGACGGACAAGUCCCGACGUCUCACGAAAAGGGAAAGCUUUACGAGCACCUUGCGUGCAUAAGAGAAAAGAGGGAGAGAGAGAAAACAAGGACUUUAGAAGGUUGAACGAAUAGCUGCAAGUCCACAAACAAUUGUUCACCGGGUGCCAGGCGCGACAACAAUUUCCCGUUAAGGUAACGUGCGAACUUGCGAAAGAUUGUUCAACGCCCGACACUAUACCGAAGCCCCAUCCAGCUUUGUGCCACCCGGGUGGUUCCAAGGGGCUGAGAUGGCUGACGUUUUGUGAGCAGAAACGAACCGUAGAAAAUAGCCCGCGACACACGAAAACGGAGCUGUUUUGGGAUUGUUUUGCUCGGUUCGGUGAGCGAUCGCUUUGUAGCAUUGUAACUUGUUCGAACUUACAUUUUUAAGCAAAAUGACUCAAAACCAAGACAAAACAUGCUGUCAAGCAGCUGUACAUGUCGAUGAGAGCGAUGAACGGUUCGUUGAACGGAGUUGUUGCGGGUGCGCGACGACCGGUCGUGAUAGUAGGUUGCAUAUAUCUUAUAUUCGGGAAGCCAAAAAAGCAGAAUAUGCAACUAUCAGUAAACAUUUUGAUGAACACAAACAUUCUGCUCCACAAAAUAGAAAAAGGGACUCAUCACAGCCUCCAAAUAUGCACUUGCAAAAGCAGGUGCUUGAGAAGAGGCUUGGUUUGUUAUCAAUGUGUAUCCAGACCUUUUCAUCUCAUGAUGAUGAUUCUUUUAAGAAAGAUAAAGGAUUUAUAUGCCAAAAUCAAAGUAUAGAGACAAUGGCAAGCGUGUGAGUAGCUGUCCUUAUCCAUCCACAACUGAAGAAAUGGUUCGUCUUGGGAUCAGACCUGAAACAACUAAAAAAUCAACUGUAAGAAGUCCUGUGACAAGAAAAGGAAGUUUGAAGAGAAGAAGGGUAAUUCUUCGUGCAAGUGGCUUAAAAAGGACUCCAUCAAGUCAAAGGGACCUAGAGAGAUUGCAUGAAUCCACUCUUGCUAUCAUAGAAAUGGUUCGCAUUCUAUUGCUGAGGUAUGCACAAUAAGAUUAAUGCUAUUGGCUGCAAAAUAUGACGAUAUCAUGAUAGUUAAAUACUUCAAUUUUGCGUUGUUUUCAUUGAUUUUUUUCCUAUAUGCUUUUCUUUGGCAUGUAUGCUGGCAAAGGAGUCUCAUGCUUCAUAUAACAUAUUAGACUUUGUUGUAUACUUAUAUAACAUCUUCCAACAACUAAAAAUACUACAUGUUUGCAAUGUUAAAUUUCCAUCUGAGGGUAUUAUUGGCUUUUUUUUGUUAAGUGAACAAAGUCUUACACCAGACUUUACUAAUCACUGCAGGUUCUCGAUAUGAUGGUGAAUUUUUAUGCUACAACAGUGGAGCAAAAGAAAAAGGUUGAAGAGAAUCUUGUUGUCACACCCUGGUGUUCUCACAGAAUAUUGCUGUAAAUUUGCCCUCAGCAAUGUUAUUUCUCUCUUAUAUGAAAAUUUUCAGCAACAGUCAUAAACUGAAGGUAGAUAGACACCUAUAGAGAUAUCUUCCAAUUUGUUUAUGAGCAUUCAUUUAUGGGAUGUACAUACUGUUUUCUAUAUUAAGUUCAUUUGGAUGUUUGAAUGGAUCAAGUGUUACCAUAAUUACCUUUGUUGAUAUUCUGAUUUCAUGUUUGGCUUAAGCUUGUGUUGUGAUUUGUCAGGGUAUAUUCUGUGGGAAAUCUGUUAUCUCAUAGAACAACAUUAUACUUUUGGCUUGUCUAUUUAACUUGAAUUUCUUUUGAAGUUUAGGAAGUUGUAUGACUUCAUUCACAUUAGUUGAUCACUUUCCUCCUCACAACUCUUGGGAAUUUGGACAUCCAUUAAAGAUAGUCCUUAUGAUAGAAAAUUUUUGGUACCUUAGAUGAUUAUUAUGUCUACCAUAGCACCAUCAAAGGCAUGUAUAAUCUUAAGGAAAAGAGGUAAUACUUUGCAUGGCAUGUGAUACAUGAUGAAGAUAUUAAUCGAUAUAUGUUGAGCAGUUUAUCUAGAAAAAUCUCAAAUAAUUAAUUUUUUUUACCCAUAACAUCCCUCUAUCCAUCCGUGAACCUAUUUAAAUCAACCUCAUGUGCCUCUAUCUCUUACAUCUCUACGUCCCUAGACAAGGAGUGCAGACAAAGGAGAUACAGGACAUGAACUUCUAACAAGAAACAGUUCCCCUGAUGCUCCACUUCAGCCAGCACAGAGGGACAUGCCAUCCAAUGAAGAGAGGGAGCAAGCAGGAGAUACAGAACUCUCAACAAGUGUACAUCUUGAUCGAGCAUCUGCAGAAACCAAGAUAAAUAUGGAAUUCCAAGACUUGUAACAAACAUUGUACUUGAAUGGUUCCGAAGCACAUCAAACUCAAAAGAUUCGGCAUGAGGAACAUAUAAUUGACCAUACUACUUACUUUAUAGGAAAACAAACCUGAAUUGUGCAAAGGUUGUAGCCUAAGAUUGAUUGUUCCACAGGUUAAGCAAGAAAUAAAUUGUCGAUGAUGAUACAGCCAUCAUGAAUGCAUAAGGUAGGAAGAGCUUGAAUAAUGAGACCCAGUGUAUCUGGCACAUCUGUGGCAUGCAAUCUCAGCAAAUCAUGCCGACUGAUACAAACAAGAGGAAUCCAACAAACACAAGUUUGAACAAUUAAUUGCAAAAUGUCUCUUAAAAUUUUUCAUUUUCAAAAACGAGGAUCACAAGAAAAAGAAAGAUUUAGACAAGCCUACAAUUCAUUAUGAGAAAAAAAAAAUCAUAAAUAGAUGGCUAAACCUAUCACAAGCCAGGAAAAUAAUAUCCUCGAUAGAAUUCGAACAAUUAAUCUAUAUAACAAAAUUUUGACUAGGCACCAGCUGGUGAAUACCUGACAAACUUUCUUGGUGAAAAGAUAUCAACUAGACUUCUUUACAUCGUUCUCUUGCGCCCGAGACUUUUCACCUUCCUUUCCUUCCAUGACUUGCUUUAUCCCUUCCUGGUACCCUUGUAUAAAGCUUUUAAGUGCAUCUUUGUAUGCUGAGGCACGCAUCAUAUACACACGCUGCAGAGCAGGCCUUAAUGUCUCCAUUCCACCUCGAGCUGCCACUGCAAGAUCUUCCAAUGUUGAUUGUUCUCUUCUUGCAGAUGUAGUGUUAUCUUGACGAAGUCCACCAUCAUCAUUUGUGACCUUUUUAUAGUCAUUUGGUCUAAGAUCGGGACCAAUAUCCCGCACCCAGCUAGCAGCGUAAAGUCUAGAUGCUUCUUUCAAGACAUACCAUCGCUCUCUCCAUGUAAGUUUCCUUCGUUUCUUGAUAUGUGGGGGGUCAGGCAGAGAGGAAGGAAAAGCAAUUUCCUUUAGAUCAUAACGAACAUAAUCAUAAAGUUUCCUACAUACCACCCUCAGCUUCAUACUGAUCUAUCUCCACUCAAUUUAACAUCCAAAACAUGAACCUACAUCACUGCAAAAGCAAAAUAUUCAGCAUAACAUUUCUACUGCACCUAUUUCAUUCGUCUUGGGAGGCAAGAUAACAAUGUAAUGAAACAUAGACCAAGAAAUAAGAAAUAUUUUGCAUGAAAUACUUUGCAUAGCUAUAACAAGCAACUUUCACCAAGAGAAAAUAAUGGGACCUGCUACGCUAAGAGUUUCAACGUAUGCAGAUCCAAAGAAUUGAGGCACUUCAACAAUGAACACAAAAGAAAAAAUGAAAAAGAAAAAGCUUGAAUAGAAAAAAGAAUUAAUAUUGUGAUUCAUAGGACAGAUAAAAUUCAUUAUCUGUCACAUGAAUUUUAAUCAACCUUGGCACCGUAUGCUCUAAAUCACGGUAUUUCGAUACUUGUUUCCGAUGAGAAGUACCUUAAUCGAUGACUCAUACCCACGCACAAAACGUUCAUUCCUUUUGCACGCAGCUAACAACACUCUAACUGUUCCACCAUGGUCGCGACACCUCCACCAAACCUAGGUGAAAGUCCUCGCUUUCUCUAUCUUCUCUUUCACUUACAAUUACGCAAUGGCAUAAACUCGCAACAAAUCUUCGACAAGAUACAGAAACAUGAUCAAAUAAAGAGGAAUCUUGGCACUUAGACAAUCACCAAAAAUAACGAAAUGCG
rnacentral:lncRNA from 1 species